GGAUCGGUAGUUCAGUUGGUUAGAAUGCCGCCCUGUCACGGCGGAGGUCGCGGGUUCGAGUCCCGUCCGGUCCGC
rnacentral:tRNA from 8 species